ACGCGCAUAGCGGUGGCCGUCGUCGCCGUGGUCGUACAGCGACUGGUGCUCGAAGCGCUCGGUCGCAUCGAGCCGCGCGUGC
rnacentral:tRNA from 1 species